rnacentral:lncRNA from 1 species
UGGCUAGUUGCUCCCAGUAGUCGUGUGGUUUGAAGGAAUACACAGGAUCUCCUAAUAACUCUUCUAAAUUUAUCGAUCAAAGUAAAGGCCGGUCGAAGCAGAGAUUGACAGCUAAAGCAUGGUGGUUAUUGGAGAUAGAAGUCGACGGUCAAUGUAUGGGUCGGUGGCCGACCCUUAGGUCAACUACGAUCAUGGUUAGACAGUGUCUUCAGUUCGGACACUAGAGAUUUUCUAUCCAUAAUACUAUUUAAUUACUCAUCAGCUACUGCAACAAACUAUUUGACAAUAUUACGACUCGCAAAGAGCCCAAAAAGAACCUGUUAAAAUCUUGAAUCCGAUGAGGAGGAAGGAUGGAGAAGGGCCAACAAGAAUGGAGGUGAGGCGGUG